rnacentral:rRNA from 1 species
CCCCCCCNAACCCCUGGGGGGGAAAAAAAGGGGGGGGAAUUUUUUUUUUUUCCCAAAAGGGNGGGAUUUNUAAANGNUUGGGGGGNAAANCCCCCCCANGGGGNUUUUUUUUCCCCNAGGUUCCAAGGGAGGGUUUUNUUAAAAAANAGACCGGGCCCNNGGGGAAANUUUUUUAAUUNACCGACCNNCCCCCUUUUAGGGGGNGGAAAUUUNAAAUUUUNNGGGGGNCCGNGGAAUUUUNGCCCCUUUGCYYAACACAUKCAAGUCGAACGAAARAUUGUAGUAAUACCGGUCUUUAGUGGCGAACGGGUGAGUAACGCGUGGGUGACCUGCCCCGAAGUGUGGGAUACCAGUCCGAAAGGACUKCUAAUACUUGCAUAACAUCCAGGAGAUUAGAACCUGCNUGGAUUAAAGGAUUUUUUCGCUUCGGGAGGGGCCUGCGUCCCAUCAGCUAGUUGGUAAGGUAAUGGCUUACCAAGGCGAUGACGGGUAGGGGACCUGAGAGGGUGACCCCCCACAAUGGAACUGAAACACGGUCCAUACACCUACGGGUGGCAGCAGUAGGGAAUAUUAGUAAUGGGCGAAAAGCCUGAACUAGCAACGCCGCNGUGUGCGAAGAAAGGCCUUCGGGUUGUAAAAGCACNUUUUUGAGAGGACGAGGAAGGACGGUACUCUCAGAAUAAGUCUCGSYAACUACGUGCCAGCAGCCGCGGUAAUCAAGGGCGAAUUGUUUAACCUCAGACNGNCCUUUG